rnacentral:rRNA from 2 species
UAACGACUCUCGGCAACGGAUAUCUCGGCUCUCGGAUCGAUGAAGAACGUAGCGAAAUGCGAUACAUGGUGUGAAUUGCAGGAUCCCGUGAACCAUCGAGUUUUUGAACGCAAGUUGCGCCCGAAGCCAUCAGGCCGAGGGCACGUCUGCCUGGGCGUCACGC